GCGGCCUACACCAUUAGUGCCAGCACUACUCAACUCUCUUCUAGAUUCAAGAUGGCGUCGAAUGCAGCUGAUUGAAAGCCUUCCAAACAUUCGCUUUCUUUCUUCAUUAUGAGCUUCAUUUACCUUUAAAUUCGAUUUAAACUAAGGUCAAUUAGAGCUUGAGUAUAUGAAGGGUACGUCUGACGCCAUGCUUUGUUUAAAAAGGAGUUGGAAUUGCGUCGAAACUUCGUCCAACUGAGCGAGUGAUUCAACAUGUUUACUUUAUUUUCUGGACUUUGGAAAUACUUGUUCCGAAAAGAUGAAUACUUUAUCCUUAUCCUUGGACUUGAUAACGCUGGGAAAACGACAUUUUUGGAGCAAAUCAAGAGAACGUUUAGUAGCUCGUACAGUGGGAUACCAUUUGAGAAGAUAAGCCCUACUGUAGGAAUGAAUGUUGGUAAGAUAGCAGUUAAUGGUAUAAAGCUGAUAUUCUGGGAUCUAGGGGGACAGCUAGAGCUGAGAUCACUAUGGAAUAAGUAUUUUGAGGAAUGCCACGGAGUCAUAUUUGUGAUUGACAGUAGCGAUGAAAAAAGGCUUGAAGAAUCACACAAUGCAUUUGAUGAAGCCCUCAAACAUGAGUUUCUCAAAGGAGUACCACUGUUAGUGUUAGCAAACAAGCAGGAUGUUCCUGGUUCUCUUUCUGUUGAUAAAAUCCAGUCAGUUUUUCAUCCCGAGUGUGCAAUACUGGAUGGACGACAGUGUUUUAUACAACCAACAUCGGCAUUGCAGGGCGAUGGCAUAGAACCAGGAAUACUAUGGAUUGCAGAUCAAGUAAAACAAAACCUUGACAGGCCACCACGUCAAAAGGAUAUCUCAUGAUAUAUCACAUCUCACUUACAUGUAAGGAAUAUUGACUGAAGUAUGAUGAAACGGGCUGUCUCCAAAGACAGCUACCCUGAACCCGCCAGUCGGAACUCAACGUCAAGAUACGAGACUCUGUUUUGCCGGUCGCUUUUUAUUGAAGAGGAAUUCAAUUUACCGCAAUUAGGGUUCCGGAUUUGAGCUCUUGUGAGCUAUCGAAAGAACGGGGAGAUUACCAUCGCUGUGGCUUCUAGUUCAGAGAUUAUACCCGACCAGGGUGCAUAAGAUUGAUUUUAUCCGAGGUUUUUCCCCUCAGUAAAGUCAAGGUUACAAAAGACUGUUGGUCUUAAUCGCAAUGAAUCUUUACUCGUCAUAAUCCUGCUUCGCGGAGAAAACUAGAGCAAGAGAAAAUUCUCUUGACUAGAGUUAUUCUUCACAGGCCAUGCACAUGGAAGCUGCGCACUCCGGAAUUGAAUAAACGCAUUUCCAAUUAUGGUCAGUGUUGUAAGAUCCUAUAUCCUUGUUACUGGCCGAUAUUAACAUGACAAAUAAAAGGUUAAAAGGUUCGACUUCAAA
rnacentral:misc_RNA from 1 species